rnacentral:rRNA from 1 species
CACGUAGGCACCAAGCGUUGUCCGGAUUUAUUGGGCGUAAAGAGCUCGUAGGCGGUUUGUUGCGUCGGCUGUGAAAUCCCGAGGCUCAACCUCGGGUCUGCAGUCGAUACGAGCAAACUAGAGUGUUGCAGGGGAGACUGGAAUUCCUGGUGUAGCGGUGAAAUGCGCAGAUAUCAGGAGGAACACCGGUGGCGAAGGCGGGUCUCUGGGCCGAUACUGACGC